rnacentral:rRNA from 1 species
AUUGAACGCUGGCGGCAGGCCUAACACAUGCAAGUCGAACGAGUGGCGGCCGGGUGAGAAAAGUCUGUGAAAAUGCCCGAUGGAGGGGGAUAACAAAUGGAAACGGUAGCUAAUACCGCAUACCAGAGGAGGUGCCCAGAUGGGAUUAGCUAGUAGGUGGGGGAACGGCUAACCUGGGGGACGAUCCCUAUCUGGUCUGAGAGGAUGACCAGCCACACUGGAACUGAGACACGGUCCAGACUCCUACGGGAGGACGCAGUGGGGAAUAGUGCACAAUGGGCGCAAGCCUGAUGCAGCCAUGCCGCGUGUAUGAAGAAGGCCUUCGGGUUGUAAAGUACUUUCAGCGAGGAGGCGUUACUCGCAGAAGAAGCACCGGCUAACUCCGUGCCAGCCGCCGCGGUAAUAC